rnacentral:rRNA from 1 species
UACGUAGGGGGCAAGCGUUGUCCGGAUUCAUUGGGCGUAAAGCGCGCGUAGGCGGCUCGACAAGUCGGCCGUGAAAUCUCCAGGCUCAACUUGGAGGGGUCGGGCGAGACUGUCGGGCUCGAGGUGGGCAGAGGGCAGUGGAAUUCCGGGUGUAGCGGUGGAAUGCGUAGAGAUCCGGAAGAACACCGGUGGCGAAGGCGGCCUGCUGGGCAGUAGCUGACGCUGAGGCGCGACAGCGUGGGGGAGCAAACAGG